AACAAGCUUAUAGCCGCUUACAAGAUGUUCCGUCAGAUGCUGUAAUUGAUACUUUGACAGAAAAGAACCUGAUUGGUGAUUGCGUUGUUCACUUAGGACUUUAAUUGUGUCUUAGCAUUGGGAACAUUAGGAGUACUUUUUACAAUUUUCCUAGGGAUGUGAAUGGUCAGGUUCAUGAUCUUCUCAUUAAAUGGAAGAAUUGCAAUGAAUCCAAGAUGCUGAAACUAACAGUAUACCGACUUAUGGUAGCUCUAAAACAUAUUAAAGCAGCGAAAGGACUUAAUUUUGUGGAGAAAACAUAUGGUGUGGAAAAACACCUGAUAUGUUGUAUGUUGUGUAAAAGAAGAUAACAAAACAUGUGUAAAAGUAGUAAGCAAAUAUGACUGGUACAAAAUAGUCUAUUGAUUCAUAGACAAUAGCUAGAAGUAAAUUUAUGUUCUGCUUCCCUAUAAUUAUUUGAUGAUCAAAGGGUCUGUAAACAGAUGAUGCAAUCACGUUUUUUAGUAUUGCGAGUGAGAAAGUUCAAAUUCUACAUAAUAAACAAAAGCAACGUACGCUAGUGGCUUCAUUUAAUUCAAUUAUAUAAUGAACAAUACGUUCUAUAAGCAAGGACAGUUUUUCAUUCAUACUACUUCGAAAAUUAUGGAACCAAAAAAGACUACCAUUUUCGCCAAUUAUGUAAAUAACUAUUUCAACGUCAAACAAGAUAAAUUUAUAGAAACAAAC
rnacentral:lncRNA from 1 species